UACGUAGGGGGCAAGCGUUAUCCGGAUUUACUGGGUGUAAAGGGAGCGCAGGCGGAAGGCUAAGUCUGAUGUGAAAACCCGGGGCUCAACUCCGGGACUGCAUUGGAAACUGGUCAUCUUGAGUGUCGGAGGGGUAAGUGGAAUUCCUAGUGUAGCGGUGAAAUGCAUAGAUAUUAGGAGGAACACCAGUGGCGAAGGCGGCUUACUGGACGACAACUGACGCUGAGGCUCGAAAGCGUGGGGAGCAAAC
rnacentral:rRNA from 1 species